GCUCCUCCCCUGCCCCUGCCCCCACAGCGGCCCCUGCCCGUUGUCCUGCACCUGUGUCUGCUCCUGGCCCUCUCCUCGUCCUUGCUCCUGUCCCUGCCCCUGCCAUCCGUGCCGCUGCCCAUCCCUACCCCUGAUGCUGCUCCUGUCCCUGCCCCUGCCACUGUUCCCGUUCCUGCCUCUGCCUCUGUCCCUGUCGCUGCUCCAGCCCCGCCCCUGCCCUUUUCGUGCCGCUGCCUCUAUACCUGUCUCUGCCGCUGCCCCUGUCCUGUCCCCUCCCCUGCCUCUUCCGUGCCGGUGGAGGGCCGAUCACCUCCUUGCAGGCACGGCACUGGCAAACUACUCGUGUAGGUGUGUGUAUUUGUAUAUAUAUGCGGACGAUCAGUGCUAAGAGCUCCUGGGGUGCUAUGUGGUUGUCAAUAGCUUGGAUCUCGUCUGGGAAUGGAAGUUAGCUGAAAGUGAGGCCAUACCUUUGCAGUGGCUAAGAAACACGACAUUUUUCUCAGUUUUUGCAUUUUGGAUCAACACAAAGAGACAGAAUUAAUGCCCUCCUCCUGUUUUCCUUCUCUUGACUCAUGAGAUUUGCUUUGAAAAGAUAUGUGAUGCAAAUGAAGAUCCAAAUAAAUGAUAGAUGAGUGGUUCUGCUGCCAUUUUACACAUCACUCUAAUACCUAGAACUGACCUCUUCCUUCACCACGUGGGAUUUCGUUCACUGAUACAGGAUUCUUCCUUCACACUUCACUGAUAUGCUGAGAUUGAUACAUUCCCUCACUACCCUGGGCUUUCCUUGAUGAAUCCAGACUGCAACCAUCACUUUGACAAGACUGGGACUCUAACCACCAGGAAAACUCCAAGAAGAGGAACAACGGGACGCCAUUGGAACCCACAGAGUGGUUUCUGUCCUUCUGGAGAAAGCCAAUCCUGAAAAAUCAAGAGAAGGUCAAGCAGAAGCCACUGACUGUCCCCUUGUCCUAUAAAUCCAUCAGUUGUCAACCACAGAGGGUAGCUUCUGCUGAUAUUUCUUUCAUGUAUGUUUCUAUUCUAAUAUUAAUAAUAUUAGAAUAAAUACUCGAGGAUGCAAAGUAGGAAAUGUCUUCUUUCUCUUCUAUCAGUCGUCUGCUUUUCUGAUUCCUUUGCUCUCCAUCCUCCAUCUCUUUCUGUAAGGUUAGUUUUUGGUUACUGCCCCAGGCGUAAACAGUCAAUCUAUUCCAGUUAUUCAACCACACUGCUAUAAUUUAUUUUUCAUCUCCCAGGGAACGUAACUCAGCUUGUGUCUUCAGGAAUUAGGCAAGUAAAUACUUCUCUACAUGCUAAUUAAUUUGAGACUAUAAAGGAUAUUAGUAGGCGUUAGUUUUAUGCCAUGUCCCCCAGCUUUCUCUCCCUUACAAAUUUAAGGACCUCCUCAAUGGUAUUUCCUUGUACUCCAUCAUUUUGUUAGGUACACACUUGAUGAAAAAAACCCCACUUUUCUGAUUAGACUCAUUGAAUAAUUUGUUAUGAUCAGUCAUGUUUCUUUAGUUUCUUCGGCCUAAUUUUCAUAUUUUCUGAUAGCAGUCUAGUUUGCUGGUAACAUUUAACUAGAACAUAAAUAGUAACGUAGAGUUCAUCUUGGCAGUUAGUCUUCAGGUUGUGUGUUUUUGUAAGACAGGAAAAAAGCAAAUAGACACUGGGUGGCAGAUGAGCACUGUUGCUGAGGUCGCUGAUUACGGAGCAUCUGUAUAUAUUCUAAAAAUGCAGGCAAUUUGUUAAAAUUGGUUAUUGUUCUGUUAUGGCAAAAUAAAAAUGUACUUUAUGUUCCCUGUGUAAUAAAUAUUGCUUGUACAUUUUG